CCUACGGGUGGCUGCAGUGGGGAAUAUUGGACAAUGGGCGAAAGCCUGAUCCAGCCAUGCCGCGUGUGUGAAGAAGGCCUUCGGGUUGUAAAGCACUUUCAGUGGGGAAGAAAGCCUUGGGGCUAAUACCCUCGAGGAAGGACAUCACCCACAGAAGAAGCACCGGCUAACUCCGUGCCAGCAGCCGCGGUAAUACGGAGGGUGCGAGCGUUAAUCGGAAUUACUGGGCGGAAAGCGCGCGUAGGCGGUCUGAUAAGCCGGUUGUGAAAGCCCCGGGCUCAACCUGGGAACGGCAUCCGGAACUGUCAGGCUAGAGUGCAGGAGAGGAAGGUAGAAUUCCCGGUGUAGCGGUGAAAUGCGUAGAGAUCGGGAGGAAUACCAGUGGCGAAGGCGGCCUUCUGGACUGACACUGACGCUGAGGUGCGAAAGCGUGGGUAGCAAACAGGAUUAGAUACCCCUGUAGUC
rnacentral:rRNA from 1 species